GUCAUCAUCUGAGGUUGCUAUAACAUGAAAUAUAUGGCAGAAUCUGGGUAAAACAAUCCUCCCUGAAAGANCUCACUUUCAGUCACAAAUUAAAUUAA